rnacentral:rRNA from 1 species
UACGAAGGGGGCUAGCGUUGUUCGGAUUUACUGGGCGUAAAGCGCACGUAGGCGGAUUUUUAAGUCAGGGAUGAAAUCCCGGGGCUCAACCCCGGAACUGCCUUUGAUACUGGAAGUCUUGAGUAUGGUAGAGGUGAGUGGAAUUCCGAGUGUAGAGGUGAAAUUCGUAGAUAUUCGCAAGAACACCAGUGGCGGAAGGCGGCUCACUGGCCCGGUACUGACGCUGAGGUGCGAAAGCGUGGGGAGCAAACAGG